UAAUACGGAGGGGGCUAGCGUUGUUCGGAAUUACUGGGCGUAAAGCGCACGUAGGCGGACUGGAAAGUUGGGGGUGAAAUCCCGGGGCUCAACCCCGGAACUGCCUUCAAAACUCCCAGUCUGGAGUUCGAGAGAGGUGAGUGGAAUUCCGAGUGUAGAGGUGAAAUUCGUAGAUAUUCGGAGGAACACCAGUGGCGAAGGCGGCUCACUGGCUCGAUACUGACGCUGAGGUGCGAAAGCGUGGGGAGCAAACAGG
rnacentral:rRNA from 1 species